CUUUGUUUUUGGGCUAUGUAUGAAAUAGAUUAAAAAAUCUAAUGGGCUGGCCCAUCCUCAUUUCAUUCGUAGGUUGAAACUUGAAACCCACUGACUCACCAUAAUUUUCUAGGGUUUAUAGUUCGCUAUAUAAAUUGCUGAAACGUAGCCUCCAAUUUUCCCAAUCUCUGUUACCUCACCGCAGCUCUCGUUUUUCUUCAACUAGGGUUUGGUUUCUUCGCUUCGCUUCCGUCCUCGAUCACCAUGAGAGCCAAGUGGAAGAAGAAGCGUAUGAGGAGGUUGAAGAGGAAGCGCCGAAAGAUGAGACAGAGAUCCAAGUAGUUUGUGUCUUCUCUCGACGAUAAUCAUCGCUUCUAGAUUUUGUUUCCUCCCCAGUUUGUUUUUGUUUGUUAUUUUGUUGAGACUUGAAGAGAGUAGUAUCGGUUUUUCUCUCAGUGUUAUGGUACAAUUUUGUUGUUGGAUUCUAUCGGUUUAAUGGUAGUUCAAGCUUUAAUUCUC